AUACGAAGGGGGCAAGCGUUGUUCGGAAUAACUGGGCGUAAAGCGCACGUAGGCGGAUUGACCAGUUAGAGGUGAAAUCCCAGGGCUUAACCCUGGAACUGCCUUUAAAACUAGUAGUCUAGAGUUCGAGAGAGGUGAGUGGAAUUCCAAGUGUAGAGGUGAAAUUCGUAGAUAUUUGGAGGAACACCAGUGGCGAAGGCGGCUCACUGGCUCGAUACUGACGCUGAGGUGCGAAAGCGUGGGGAGCAAACAGGAUUAGAAACCCGAGUAGUCC
rnacentral:rRNA from 1 species